rnacentral:rRNA from 1 species
UACAGAGGUCUCAAGCGUUGUUCGGAUCAUUGGGCGUAAAGGGUGUGUAGGUGGCGCCGUAAGUCGGGUGUGAAAUUUCGGAGCUUAACUCCGAAACUGCAUUCGAUACUGCGGUGCUUGAGGACUGGAGAGGAGACUGGAAUUCAUGGUGUAGCAGUGAAAUGCGUAGAGAUCAUGAGGAAGACCAGUGGCGAAGGCGGGUCUCCUGGACAGUUC